AGCGAAGAGUAUCCAUGCCAAUAUUCGAGCACAGCUUUGAUGUGUGUGAUGGGAGCAAUUCAAGCUGUUGCGUUUGCCCUUUGCAUGGAAAAAAAUUGGGAUCAAUGGAAAUUGGGCUGGAAUAUUAGACUUGUUACCGUUGCAUAUUCGGUAUGUUAAUUAGAGUAGAGUGAUAUUUCACGCAAACAGUGAUAGAGAGGCAACAGAAACAUUGUAACUGUAACAUACCAAAAUAUCAUUAUUCUAUUAAUUAAUUAUGCUUUUUUCUUUUUUAUAAUGAAAUUGAAAGUGAUGUUCUAUGCAUGUUAUAGGGAAUAGUUGCUUCAGGUUUUAUGGUGACACUUAUAUCAUGGUGUGUGCGCGUGAAAGGCCCUCUAUUUGCUUCUGUUUUUAGUCCUAUGAUGCUUGUGGUUGUGGCCUUGGCUGCAUCUUUAAUUCUCGAUGAGAUGCUACACUUGGGAAGGUAUGUAUAUAUAUAUAUGCAUGUGUAUUUGUGUGUGUGUGUAUUCUUUUAAUUUAACAACAAUAGUAACUCUAUAAAAUUAUUUUAUAAAUUAAAUUUGUGCAAAUUAAUGUGACACAAUAUUUCAGUCUAUUAGGAGCAACAUUGAUCGUGUGCGGGCUAUACUCUGUUUUAUGGGGUAAAGGAAAGGAAAUGAAGAAUGUAACGCAGCUAGCGCCAGGUGCUAAAACCUCUAAAGACUCUGAACCAAUAAAAAUUGUUAUUGGUUCACCAAUUGAUGAUAGUCGUCAUAGAGAAGAAGACCAUAUAUUUCCAAAGGAAAAUAAACGAAAUAGUAAAGGAGAUCGAGAUUAAAGUUAUUGGAUGCCGACAUAUCCAUAAAAGCACAAUGGAAAAUUCAAAAAAGGACAAAAGAAACAUGAAUCAAUUUACGUAAAUGCUUAAUUUAUUGUAUUCAUAAAAUUUUUUUUGUGGCUUCUACUUAGCAUCUAUUUGGUAUGACUUGUCUAAUGGUUAUAAAUAUCUAUUUAAUCUCACAAACUCUUUUCAAAUCUUUUGUUGUUGUUUGGCUGUUUUUUGAGUAGAGCUCUUGAUGAUUAAAUGAGUUCUUUUACCUCUCUUAACGAGCUCAAAUUGUAGACUUUUGAGAAUAGAGGUUGAUUUUUUUUUUUAAAUGUUAAAAUUUUUAAAAUAUUAUUUACUUAUUUAACAAUCUUAUUUAAUUCAUUUCAUAACAUAACUUUAAAAAACUUUCCUAUUAAAGUAAUUUUAUAAUUUUUAAUAAAAACUCUCAUUGACAAACAAACAAUUAAAAUUUUUUUGAUGCAAACUCUACUUAAAAAAGUUUUAUUAAUCAAAAUUUUAUUUAAAUAAGUUCUAUUUAAAGAAGUAUAUCAAUGGAGUAUUUAAUAUUACUUUAUUUAAAUAAAUUAUAUCGGUAGAUUUCAUAAUUUUUUAAUGUUAAAUCUUGGGUAGUCCUAAUGUAAGACCGACUUUUAGUCCCACAAUUUAACAGAAUACUAAUGACUGGCUUAGGUGGUAGGACUAUUGGACUAACGUACAUAAAUUUUUCACAUUAACAGAUGUCACUUGCACCACUAGUUUCUUACAUCUGAUAUAUGGUAUGAAGCUACCUUUUGAUGGCUGUGGUUCAAGUCGCAUUUGCUGGGGUUAAUGUCUUCUAUAAAUUAGCUGGUGAGAUGGAAUGAUUUUGCGAGUCAUCAUUGCCUAUAGAUUAAUUUUUGCCUUAGCUUUUAUGCUUCCUAUUUAAUCGGUCUUAUUUGGUAUUGAGAUGUUGUAACUUUUAAAAUAAAAUAAAAAUUAUAAUUAUGAGAUAAAAAUUAAUAGUAUAUUUUAAAUAUAAUUUUUAAAUAAUAGUUUUGACAAAAAUUAGUAAAUAUAUAACAAAAAUCAAAUCAAUUUAUCUUUCAAAUUACAACAGUAAGUAUUUACCAAAUAUUUUAGUAUUGUAACUUUUAAAUUACAGUUGUCCAACCUCAAUCACAAAUAGGGUCUUAAUUGUAAUUUUUUAGACCUUCUUAAUUGGUGAAAAUUAUUCCUUAAUUUAAAAUCAAACUAUUAUAUUGAUUGUGGUUUAAUCAUGUGCUUGUUCUGUGUAGAAUAUAUGCAAAUAACAUUAACCUAAUUUUUAUCCAUCUCCAUGCAUGCAAACUAUCUUAACAAUUAGAAUUAUUAAGUUCCAUGUCCCAUCUGAUAUUUGUAAAACCUAUAUUUUUUUCGGCUUAGUGAGGCUAUUUGCACUCUAAAAAUUACUCUAAACACUCUAAUUUUAAUAAAGAUUUUAUUACAAAAAUACUCAUCAUAUGAAUUACUAUUAAGGAUAAUUUAUUAUAAGCCGAUAUUACAUAAUUACUUUACACCCGUAUAGCAUACUCAUUAUUCAAUAUACAUAAUUCUAUGCUUUAACUUUUAUUUCAAAUGUCUUAAUCAAUACUUAGAUAAAUUAUGAUGAAAUCAAUAUUUCUAUUUUUAUUUUUACCCUCAUUAUUUAUGGAAUAUUUCUUAUUAUUAUUUUCUCAUUGUAAGCUAUUUUGGGUACAAAAUCCAAUAUUGAACAUAAAUAAAAAGAAUUAAUAACUGUAUUUUUGUUAAAUAUAUUGUUUACAACUUGAUUUGAUUAUAUUAUUGUGAAAAUUUAUUAAAUCUCUUGAAAUUGGGUGAGUUGAAUAUCUUUAUUGUGUUUUAAGUAAAUAAAGUUAAUUAAUUUCAAUAGUUUAUAGAGUGUAUAAAGUAAAUCUUAAUUUUUUUAAAAAUUAGUAUCUGAGUGUACAAAAUAAUAGUGUUCAAAGUAGUUUUUAUAGUACAAAUAAUCCAUCCCUUCUACGUAGUAGGUUUGGUUUCUUUUUACUAUUUAAAUUAUUAUAAAAUAAAAUUAGGUGCAAAAAGUGUUUCACCAUAAUAUUUUUCUAAAAACGAAUUAUAAAAUAUUACAUUUUACUAUUUUUUUCAUUAAUUGACCAUUGGUUGACCAAUAAAAUAUUAAUUUUGCCGGAAUUUUAAGGAAAAAACAAAGAAUUUCUAAUUAGGGUUAAUAAUUUUCAUAUUUAUCAAAAGCCCAAAAAACUAAAUAAAAGCUCAUAUAUAUACACAAAAGGCCUAAUCUAAUGUUUUCGAUAGUGGAUUAUUACAACAAUUUUCAUUCAGUUAAAUAUCAAUUUAAUUUUAAUUAUUAAUUAUCAAUAAAAAUCCACAGACAUACAUAAAAACUGUUACGUGACAGCGCAACUGACCUUGUAAUUGGUCUGUAAAGCCUUUCCGAACCAUUUGCUUUUAUUUCCAUGUUGUAGCAGACAUCUAAAUAAAGAACAAACAAGUAAACUUGGUCUAUUUCGACGAAGACCAAGGCCUCCGAUAGCAGAUAAACCUCUAAAGAUUCUGAACCAAUAGAAAUUGUUAUUACUUCUCCAGUUGAUGAUAGUCGUCAUGAAGAAGAAGACCAUAUAUUUCCAAAAGAAAGUGAAGAAAAU
rnacentral:lncRNA from 1 species